UUGAAAGGGAAACGAUUGAAGUCAGUCGUACCUAUGGGUAAUCAGCCUUUUGGGUGUGAUUUUGUGGAGCGUGAGGAGUUAAACGCCUUCAUGCCUGCAUAUUCGUGCACUUUGGGUGUACUUGCCCGUAUGGUUGGUUAACAUCAAUUUUGGUGGUCAUAAAAUGACUGGAGGAAUGUAGCUUCGAUCUCGUAUUGAAGUGUUAUAGCCUUCGGUAGAUGUGAUGAUCGAGAUUGAGGAUUGCAACGGAUACCCUUCGGGGCUACCUGUCUGAUCUCUGAUCGUUGCUCUGGUGCCGAAAGCUUGCUUACGGUCAUAAAAGUCGAUGGUCAAUAGGUUAGAACGGGUUAAAUUCGUUAAGGAUGUUGACGUA
rnacentral:rRNA from 1 species